UGGGGAAUAUUGGACAAUGGGCGCAAGCCUGAUCCAGCCAUGCCGCGUGGGUGAAGAAGGCCUUCGGGUUGUAAAGCCCUUUUGUACGGAACGAAAAAGCUCUGGUUAAUACCUGGGGCCCAUGACGGUACCGUAAGAAUAAGCACCGGCUAACUUCGUGCCAGCAGCCGCGGUAAUACGAAGGGUGCAAGCGUUACUCGGAAUUACUGGGCGUAAAGCGUGCGUAGGUGGUGGUUUAAGUCAGAUGUGAAAGCCCUGGGCUCAACCUGGGAACUGCAUUUGAUACUGGAUCACUAGAGUGCGGUAGAGGAUAGUGGAAUUCCCGGUGUAGCAGUGAAAUGCGUAGAGAUCGGGAGGAACACCAGUGGCGAAGGCGACUAUCUGGACCAGCACUGACACUGAGGCACGAAAGCGUGGGGAGCAAACA
rnacentral:rRNA from 1 species